CCACAACAAGUAUUCGAUUACAGUAGACAGCUAAUAAUAGUCAACUACAUUAGGGAUGCCGAACUACAAACAUAAUAAGAACUGAAUUUAUCGGAAACCUAUGGGUCUAAAGAAAAUAUCACAAAAUGGUACUGAACAUACAGGUAGCAAUGCUCACAGUACAUUAGCUCAUGCUUCAAACGGCAGAUGGGGAAAUCAACCAAAAUGUGGGGCAAAGAUGUAUGAGCAUCAGGCACCACCUUUUUCUUGAUCAAUUCUAU
rnacentral:lncRNA from 1 species